GUGUAUGAAAGGAGAGAAGGUUAGCACUCCCCUUGACAAGGAUGGAAGAGGUCCCAGUGGCCUACAACACAUAAAUGGUUAAGGCAGUGGUUCUUAACCUGGGGUGCGG